rnacentral:snoRNA from 1 species
UGCACUUAAUGUUUGUUUUUGUUUAGCUUGUGGGCAAAGACUUAUGGAUAGGUACAAAAAAUAAAUCCUCUUCUGCAACCCAGAACUCAUUGUUCAGUAUGAGUUUUGAUACAUGUAAGAAGGGAUAUU